UGCCAAGGACGUUCUGCUUCUAGAAGGCUCUGUCGGGACCGCAGGCAAGCCCCCUGGGCUCUUCGUUAAAUGCAGGCAGCACCGGAACUCCAGGCACACGCAGUCAGCAGAGAGCUCUCCAACCUGUUGUCUCAUCUGAUUUCAAACCAGCCCAGGGAUCCUGCCCUGGGAACGAGUACAGUUAGGCCGAGUGUGGGAUUUUGGGCAUCUGCCAACCGCGGCAGGGGCAGUCUCGACCAGUGGAGCCCAACAGCGACAAGUACGGUGGAACAUAGGGACCAGACAGUAACUUUAGUAGAUGCACGGUGGCAAAAGAGGGCCAGGUUUGGGAGGAGAGAUGUAAAAGGCCUGCUGGGACCAGUGUACCCCCCGAAGGCCCCUGUCCAGACACAGCGCAGGGGGUGUGGGAAAGUGGCAUCACAACGCUAGUGCCCCAGCAGCAAGGCAGAGCAAGUCAGCCUCUGGCCAAGCAGCACUCCAGCUCAGAACUGCUGCACAGUGUGUCCAUGCCGUGCUGUCACUGGGCAUCGGGCUGCCUCCUGUGAAAAAAGGGUCACUGCGAGUCCCCUUACGUGGAUCUCCUGGAUGCUCACGUGCACUUCUGGAGGGCGCCUGUCCGUGAGCAGGAUGGAGACCCUGUGAAUGACUUCCCAGCCGGCCGCCCCGAGUUAGAUUGCACCAGCAGGGCUCCAGCUGGUCCGUCCUCGCUGACAGCUGGUACAUUUCUGUUUCUCUUUCUGUUUGAGGCGUCCCGGUGGGUGGGAGGUGGUGCCGUCUGAUGCUUUAACCUG